UACGGAGGGUGCAAGCGUUAUCCGGAUUCACUGGGUUUAAAGGGUGCGUAGGUGGGUUGGUAAGUCAGUGGUGAAAUCUCCGAGCUUAACUUGGAAACUGCCAUUGAUACUAUCAGUCUUGAAUACCGUGGAGGUCAGCGGAAUAUGUCAUGUAGCGGUGAAAUGCUUAGAUAUGACAUAGAACACCAAUUGCGAAGGCAGCUGACUACGCGAAUAUUGACACUGAUGCAUGAAAGCGUGGGGAUCAAACAGG
rnacentral:rRNA from 1 species